rnacentral:lncRNA from 1 species
ACAAAUCAAAGGCCUACCACAAAUUUGACUUAAUGAAUCACUUUGACUUUGUUACUGAGUUUACUCAUCUAUUGAACAAGAGGAGAACAGAUCUCUGACUGCUGAAGUAUAAAUACAAACAACGGAGUCAAAUUGGAAAUAGGAUAACAGCUGUUUUGAUGGCAAAGUAGUGUGGAGAACAAAGCUUGGGACUGAGAUUGAAACAAAAAGAAGUGACAACUUCUUUGCUCCUGGUUGUUUUACCAUCAACAUGACAGUUAUGGGAGAAUCGCGUAGCUCAGCCACU